GGAUUAAGAGCUUGCUCUUAUGAAGUUAGCGGCGGACGGGUGAGUAACACGUGGGUAACCUGCCCAUAAGACUGGGAUAACUCCGGGAAACCGGGGCUAAUACCGGAUAACAUUUUGAACCGCAUGGUUCGAAAUUGAAAGGCGGCUUCGGCUGUCACUUAUGGAUGGACCCGCGUCGCAUUAGCUAGUUGGUGAGGUAACGGCUCACCAAGGCAACGAUGCGUAGCCGACCUGAGAGGGUGAUCGGCCACACUGGGACUGAGACACGGCCCAGACUCCUACGGGAGGCAGCAGUACGGAAUCUUCCGCAAUGGACGAAAGUCUGACGGAGCAACGCCGCGUGAGUGAUGAAGGCUUUCGGGUCGUAAAACUCUGUUGUUAGGGAAGAACAAGUGCUAGUUGAAUAAGCUGGCACCUUGACGGUACCUAACCAGAAAGCCACGGCUAACUACGUGCCAGCAGCCGCGGUAAUACGUAGGUGGCAAGCGUUAUCCGGAAUUAUUGGGCGUAAAGCGCGCGCAGGUGGUUUCUUAAGUCUGAUGUGAAAGCCCACGGCUCAACCGUGGAGGGUCAUUGGAAACUGGGAGACUUGAGUGCAAAGAGGAAAGUGGAAUUCCAUGUGUAGCGGUGAAAUGCGUAGAGAUAUGGAGGAACACCAGUGGCGAAGGCGACUUUCUGGUCUGUAACUGACACUGAGGCGCGAAAGCGUGGGGAGCAAACAGGAUUAGAUACCCUGGUAGUCCACGCCGUAAACGAUGAGUGCUAAGUGUUAGAGGGUUUCCGCCCUUUAGUGCUGAAGUUAAUGGGGAGCAAACAGGAUUAGAUACCCUGGUAGUCCACGCCGUAAACGAUGAGUGCUAAGUGUUAGAGGGUUUCCGCCCUUUAGUGCUGAAGUUAACGCAUUAAGCACUCCGCUUGGGGAGUACGGCGGCAAGGCUGAAACUCAAAGGAAUUGACGGGGGCCCGCCCAAGCGGUGGAGCAGGUGGUUUAAUUGGAAGCAACGGGAAGACCCUUACCAGGUCUUGCCAUCUUCUGACAACCCUAGAGAUAGGGCUUUUCUUUGGGGAGCAGAGUGCCAGGUGGUCCAUGGUGGUGUUCAGCUGGGGUCGUGAGAUGUUGGGUUAAGUCCCGCAACGAGCCCAACCCUUGUUUUUAGUUCCCAUCAUUAAGUUGGCCACUUUAAGGUGACUCCCGGUGCCAAACCGGAGGAAGGUGGGGAGGACGUCAAAUCAUCAUGCCCCUUAUGCCCUGGGCUACACACGUGCUCCAAUGGACGGUACAAAGAGCUGCAAGACCGCGAGGUGGAGCUAAUUUCAUAAACCCGUUUUCAGUUCGGAUUGUAGGCUGCAACUCGCCUCCAUGAAGCUGGAAUCGCUAGUAAUCGCGGAUCACCAUGCCGCGGUGAAUACGUUCCCGGCCCUUG
rnacentral:rRNA from 1 species